rnacentral:misc_RNA from 1 species
GAAAUGCGAUAAGUAAUGUGAAUUGCAGAAUUCAGUGAAUCAUCGAAUCUUUGAACGCACCUUGCGCUCCUUGGUAUUCCUUGGAGCAUGUCUGUUUGAGUAUCAUGAAAUCUUCAAAGUAAAUCUUUUGUUAACUCAAUUGGUUUCUACUUUGGUAUUGGAGGUCUUUGCAGCUUCACACCUGCUCCUCUUUGUUCAUUAGCUGGAUCUCAGUGUUAUGCUUGGUUCCACUCGGCGUGAUAAGUUAUCUAUCGCUGAGGACACUGUAAAAGGUGGCCAAGGUAAAUGCAGAUGAAACGCUUCUAAUAGUCCAUUGACUUGGACAAUACUUUUAUGAUCUGAUCUCAAAUCAGGUAGGACUACCCGCUGAACUUAAGC